rnacentral:rRNA from 1 species
GACGAACGCUGGCGGCGUGCUUAACACAUGCAAGUCGAACGGAAAGGCCCUGCUCUUGUGGGGUGCUCGAGUGGCGCACGGGUGAGUAACACGUGAGUAACAUGCCCUUGUCUUUGGGAUAACUUCAGGAAACUGGGGCUAAUACCCGAUAGGAGCUCUUGCAGCAUGGUGGGGGUUGGAGAGUUUCGGCGGUGUUGGCUGGAUUCGAGGCUUAUCCGCUUGUUGGUGGGGUAGUGGCUUACCAAGCCUUUGAGGGGUAGCCGGCCUGAGAGGGUGAACGGGCUCAUGGGGCCUACGGGACGGCCCAGACUGCAACGGGAGGCAGCAGGGGGGAACAUGGCACAAUGGGCGGAAGCGUGAUGCAGCAACGCCGCGUGCGUGAUAACGGCCUUCGGGUUGUAAACCGCUUUCGCCUGUGACGAAGCGUGAGUGACGGUAAUGGGUAAAGAAGCACCGGCUAACUACGUG